rnacentral:misc_RNA from 1 species
GUGAAUCAUCGAAUCUUUGAACGCAUAUUGCACCCUCUGGUAUUCCGGGGGGUACACCUGUUCGAGCGCCAUUUUGACCCUCAAACAUAGCUUGGUGUUGGGUUAGGCCCCUAAAGGGGCCCACCCUUAACUCGUAGGCGGUCAUGGUCAACUUCCCUCAGCGUAGCAGGCUCACGCACUCGCUUGGGGAUAGGCAUUGUGACCCGCUCAACCGAAACCCCUUUCCAAAGGUUUGGCCUCGGAUCAGGUGGGGAUACCCGCUGAACUUAAGCAUAUCAAUAAGCGGAGGA